GGGCGGUUAGCUCAGUUGGUUAGAGCGCCUGCCUUACAAGCAGGAUGUCGUAGGUUCGAGUCCUAUACUGCCCA
rnacentral:tRNA from 2 species